UCGAGUUACAAAACUCCCAACCCUAUGUGAACCUUACCUCUGUUGCUUCGGCGGACCCGCCCCGGCGCCAACGGCCCGGAACCAGGCGACCGCCGGGGGACCCCAAACCUCUGUUUCUAGUAUUCUUCUGAGUGGCGUACGCGCAAAUCAAAUCA
rnacentral:misc_RNA from 1 species